CAGCACUUAAUAUGCACAGAGCUAUCUACAGCCAAGCCUUGUGCCAAAGACUGAUGUCGUGUUGUGGUGGCUGGUUUAAGAAGUGCAGCGUUGAUGUGGGGGCAUUCUCAGGGCUUGGAGUUGUCCUGGGUGGUGCUGCAGGGACAGAU
rnacentral:snoRNA from 1 species